CUUUUUUGUGGGACGCCACAGUGUUAUUUUAUUAAUUAUUAUUAAUCUCAAUCGGCUCCUCGAACAAGUGGAAUUCGGUAAAUCGUAGUUUUAGCAGCAGUCCGUACUCCGUUUGUGUUUAACCCACGAUUUUACCUAACCCGAGGAUUAACCACUGGUCGAAUAUAUGCGUCCCGUCGUCUUUUCGCCUUUCGGUGAACGUCCAUCGUAUCGGCACAGAAUAAGACAAUCGGCAUUUAUUUUGCUCUCACGUCACCGUUGUUUGAUUUUCUUUCGUCCGCGGAUAAGAAACAAUCCCACCGACCGAUUUGUUGCAAUCCGCUGACUUACCGUAUUGUUUGAUGGGUAGAAUGCUCUAAUAAUCAUCAAUAUCAGAGAAGUAAUGAAUAAUAGAUUUUUAUAAUGUUAUAUUGAUGCAAUGAAGUUCCUUAAUACUUACUAAAUAAAAAUAAACACUACCUGGUGAAAUGUGUUGGAUAAGUACUUUCAAUAUUGCUCUAGGAUAUCGCCCGUUGGAGCGAAGAAGAUCUUAUCUCUGUUUUCACAAAUUAAUUUUUAUUUUUUUUUCAAGUUGUCAUAACUAUUUUUGUGUUGUUCCCACGAAGAUGGUAGUAACUGCAUUUUAUUGUAUAAAACGUCUUUGAUGCUACUAUAAGAUUCGCGGGAACUACACAAAAAUGUUAUGACAACUUGAAAAAAAAAAAUUUGUGAAAACAGAGAUACGACCUUCUUUGCUGCGGUAGGCGAUAUGUCCAUUAACAGCGCAAAAUAUAACAAUAACUUACACAAUUUGAGAUUGUAUACUACAAUGACAAGCUGUUGAUGAACGAUGAAUAGUGAAUCAAAAAGAAGCUGGAAUAUUGUACUGGUUUUUAUGGUCCAAUUCAUCAAGUCACGCCCGUACAUCACACAUAUCCUUUUUAUCAUUAUUUUAGAUAUUAUACUAUCAUAAGUUAAAUUUAAGAGAGCUACUAAAGAAUGAUAUUUUAAUUUUUCAUUAUAACUGGACGAUGAUACAAUUGUAAUUUUUUCAAUGAUAA